GCUGGGCGUGAUGGCUCAGGCCUGUAAUCCCAGGAACUCUGGAGGCUGAAGCCGGAGGAUCACAAGUCUGAGGCUAGCCUCACCAACUUAGUGUGAGACUCUGUCUCAA
rnacentral:sRNA from 1 species